rnacentral:rRNA from 1 species
UUCGCAAUGCCCGAAAGGGUGACGAAGCGACGCCGCGUGUGGGAAGAAGGCCUUCGGGUUGUAAACCACUGUCGGGAGUUAAGAAAUGCAAGGAUAUUAAUAGUGUCUUUGUUUGACUAAGGCUCCGGAGGAAGCCACGGCUAACUCUGUGCCAGCAGCCGCGGUAAUACAGAGGCGGCAAGCGUUGUUCGGAAUUAUUGGGCGUAAAGAGCACGUAGGCGGCUAUGUAAGUCGGUUGUGAAAGCCUUCCGCUCAACGGAAGAACAGCAUCCGAUACUACAUGGCUUGAGUGCGGGAGGGGAGAGUGGAACUUCUGGUGGAGCGGUGAAAUGCGUAAAUAUCAGAAGGAACGCCGGCGGCGAAAGCGGCUCUCUGGCCCAUAACUGACGCUGAGUGUGCGAAAGCUAGGGGAGCAAACGGGAUUAGAUACCCCGGUAGUCCUAGCCGUAAACGAUGGGCACUAAGUAGAGGGGUUUU